CGUUCACAAUUCAGGCACAUAGCCAGCAUUGUGAGAACCACAGACCGGUGACAAAAAACUGCAAAAGAAGUAAUUAUUAAUCGUAUUUUGAUCAAAUAUAUCUAAUUUUAUAAUAUUAUGAAAAUUCGUAAUGUCUGUUUGUCUGAAUAUUCCAUUCCAUUCCAUUUUCUACCGCUUUAUCCGAACUACCUCGGGUCACGGGGAGCCUGUGCCUAUCUCAGGAGUCAUCGGGCAUCAAGGCAGGAUACACCCUGGAUGGAGUGCCAACCCAUCGCAGGGCACACACACUCACUCAUUCACUCACGCACUCACACCCUACGGACAAUUUUUCCAGAGAUGCCAAUCAACCUACCAUGCAUGUCUUUGGACCAGGGGAGGAAACCGGAGUACCCGUAGGAAACCCCCGAGGAGAACAUGCAAACUCCACACACACAAGUCGGAAGCGGGAAUCGAACCCCCAACCCUGGAGGUGUGAGGCGAACGUGCUAACCACUAAGCCACCGUGGUUACCACUAUUUAAUAAAAUCAGGAACUAGAUCUGCCAUGUUGAAGCAGCUUUACUGUGUAGAAAGAGAUAGCCAGGCCAGAAACAGACCACAGCAAGAUGAAGAAGUAGGAAGAGGACAGCGCAAGAAAUAUCGUAGGAUACUGUCUGAUUCAGAGAGCAGUGAGGAAUUUCAGGCAGUUGAAAAGCAGCUGUCUGCAAAGAAGAUCCACGCGAUAAGAGCCAGAUCCUUUCUAGAGCAGUAUAAGGCGGACAAAGAAUCAAGUAAAGAUGCAGCAACAUCAAAGACUACAACAUCAGGAAAUGAAACAGAAUUAAAUGAGCAAAUAUUGGGAGAAUUAAAAGAAAUCAAAAGUGUUCUGGUAGAAACUUUAACACUUUUGAAAAAUGGAUGCACUCCAUGAUUAACUGCACCAGUUACCAGUUCACUGGUAACUCCCCCUGAACCUCCUUCUGAUUUACUUGCUCCAGAGUCUUCCCCUGUGCUACCUGCCCCAAGGGCCUGCCUACAACCUCUUCAUGUAAAGGACACUAGGAGCAUUGGUGACUGCAAAAAGGUGAGAAUUGGCCCUAACACAUCCAUCACUGCAGAACAGUUUGGUCAUGUGAAGUGGACAGAUGCUAAAAAGGCGACAAAAGACCUGCUGAUUUCAGUGUUCGGAAGAAGAAUACUGGCAACACACUGCUACACUGGAAAAUGUUCCAAUGCCUUUAAGAACAAAGACGCUAAACCUCAACUGGAUCCUGAAAAAGUGUCUGACAUCAUUAGCUACAUCAAAAGUAAAAUCAACAUAGAAGUGAGCGUAAUUAAAAAAGCCAUCUCGGAGAAAUGCUCAGAUGAAUGCAAAUUAUCCAAAAGACGCAACUGUGUGUGAGAAUAAUUGAAUUUUGC